GCGCUUAUAGCUUAACUGGAUAGAGCAGGGGCUUGCGGAGCCUCAGAUCCCAGUUCAACUCUGGGUAAGCGCA
rnacentral:tRNA from 1 species